rnacentral:rRNA from 1 species
GAUUAACGCUAGCGGCAGGCCUAAUACAUGCAAGUUGUACGGGAUUAUUGGUAGCAAUACUGAUAUGAGAGUAGCGCACGGGUGCGUAACACGUAUGCAACCUACCUUUAACUGGGGAAUAGCUCACCGAAAGGUGAAUUAACGCCGCAUAAAAUCACAGAAGGACAUCCUUUAAUGAUUAAAUCUCCGGAGGUUAAAGAUGGGCAUGCGUCCGAUUAGC